UACGAAGGGGGCUAGCGUUGUUCGGAAUAACUGGGCGUAAAGGGCGCGUAGGCGGUUUGGUAAGUUAGGAGUGAAAUGCCGGGGCUCAACCUCGGAACUGCUCUUAAAACUGCCCGACUAGAGUAUGGGAGAGGAUGGUGGAAUUCCUAGUGUAGAGGUGAAAUGCGUAGAGAUGCGGAGGAACACCGAUGGCGAAGGCAGCCCCCUGGGCUAACACUGACGCUCAGGCACGAAAGCGUGGGGAGCAAACAGG
rnacentral:rRNA from 1 species